rnacentral:rRNA from 1 species
GAUGAACGCUAGCGGCAGGCUUAAUACAUGCAAGUCGAGGGGCAGCAGGGGUGUAGCAAUACACUCGCUGGCGACCGGCAAACGGGUGCGGAACACGUACGCAACUUACCCAAAACUGGGGAAUAGCCCGGGGAAACCCGGAUUAAUACCUCGUAACAUAAUGAAGUGGCAUCACUUUAUUAUUAUAGCUCCGGCGGUUUUGGAUGGGCGUGCGCCUGAUUAGGUAGUUGGCGGGGUAACGGCCCACCAAGCCUACGAUCAGUAACUGGUGUGAGAGCACGACCAGUCACACGGGCACUGAGACACCGGGCCCGACUCCUACGGGAGGGCANCAGUAAGGAAUAUUGGUCAAUGGACGCAAGUCUGAACCAGCCAUGCCGCGUGAAGGAUGAAGGUCCUCUGGAAUUGUUAAACUUCUUUUAUAUGGGACGAAACCCUUCUUUUUCUAGAGAGACUGACGGUACCAUAAGAAAUAGCCNCCGGCUAACUCCGUGCAGCCGCGCGUAA